rnacentral:rRNA from 1 species
UUGGGAGCUCUCCCAUAUGGUCGACCUGCAGGCGGCCGCGAAUUCACUAGUGAUUCGUAUUACCGCGGCUGCUGGCACGAAGUUAGCCGGGGCUUCUUCUCCGGAUACCGUCAUUAUCUUCUCCGGUGAAAGAGCUUUACAACCCUAAGGCCUUCAUCACUCACGCGGCAUGGCUGGAUCAGGCUUGCGCCCAUUGUCCAAUAUUCCCCACUGCUGCCUCCCGUAGGAGUCUGGGCCGUAUCUCAGUCCCAAUGUGGCCGGUCACCCUCUCAGGCCGGCUACCCGUCAAAGCCUUGGUAAGCCACUACCCCACCAACAAGCUGAUAAGCCGCGAGUCCAUCCCCAACCGCCGAAACUUUCCAACCCCCACCAUGCAGCAGGAGCUCCUAUCCGGUAUUAGCCCCAGUUUCCUGAAGUUAUCCCAAAGUCAAGGGCAGGUUACUCACGUGUUACUCACCCGUUCGCCACUCGAGCACCCCACAAAAGCAGGGCCUUUCCGUUCGACUUGCAUGUGUUAAGCACGCCGCCAGCGUUCGUCCUGAGCCAUGAUCAAACUCUAAUCGAAUUCCCGCGGCCGCCAUGGCG